rnacentral:rRNA from 1 species
CAAAUCAGGUAGGACUACCCGCUGAACUUAAGCAUAUCAAUAAG